rnacentral:rRNA from 1 species
UACGUAGGGAGCAAGCGUUGUCCGGAAUCAUUGGGCGUAAAGCGCGCGUAGGCGGCCCUGUAAGUCCGUUGUGAAAGUCAAAGGCUCAACCUUUGAAAGCCGAUGGAUACUGCAGGGCUAGAGUCCGGAAGAGGCGAGUGGAAUUCCUGGUGUAGCGGUGGAAUGCGUAGAGAUCCGGAGGAACACCAGUGGCGAAGGCGGCUGCCUGGGCCUGGCCUGACGCUGAGGCGCGAAAGCGUGGGGAGCAAUCCGG